rnacentral:rRNA from 1 species
UUGUCUUUUAAAUAAAGACCAGUAUGAAUGGCAAGACGAAAGUUCAACUGUCUCCCUAAAUUAAUCAAUGAAAUUGAUCUUCCCGUGCAGAAGCGGGAAUAAAAUUAUAAGACGAGAAGACCCUAUGGAGCUUUAAAUAUAUGAUCAACUGUAUAAUAUAAAAUUCAAUAGAUUAAGUAUUAAAUAAAACAUUAUGAUCAAAAUUUUAGGUUGGGGCGACCACGGAGAAAAACAAAACCUCCGAGAUGAAAAGAGUAUCUUAAUUUAUGAACUACAGUUCUAAUAAAUAAAAUAUUUAACAUAAUUGAUCCAAUUUAUUGAUCAACGAACUAAGUUACCCUAGGGAUAACAGCGCAAUCCUUUCCAAGAGUCCCUAUCGACGAAUGGGUUUACGACCUCGAUGUUGGAUCAGGACACCCCAAUGGUGCAGCCGCUAUUAAAGGUUCGUUUGUUCAACGAUUAAAGU